GAUGAAAGUUCAGAUGGCUCUGACUUGAUGGCCAAAUUGUUUCCCCCAAAAGACAGUAUCUCUACUUGCAAUGGUGACAAGUCUGAUGUUACGGAGAACACAUUAGAACUGAGGAGAAAUUUAAAGGAUAAUCUUCGUACUAAACAAGACCUUUUCAAAACUGGAUCCUCUAGACACGACAAGAAUGCUACAGCAAAUUGCCCUUCCAGAAUGCUACAGCAAAUUGAUGGACCGUGAAGAGUCCACGAUACAAAUGUUCUACCCAUCAGUUAUAUGUUUUAUCCUGUAGUUAAUGUCAUCAGGUCAUUUGUGUACUAAUGUAGCAUGCGAUUCAUUGUCAUCAGAGCUUGACAUAGAUACACAUGGAAAGCGUUUCUUGGGGCAAGUAAGCUAUCCGUUCAUAUGCACUAGAUCAACUGAUCUACUCCCUCCGUUCCUUAAAGAAUGGCAUAUUAGCUUUCAUUAAGACAAGGCUUUGAUCACAAAUUACUAUAUUAAAGUGUGGUUCAUAUGUCAUGAAACCACAAGUAUCAUGAAGUACUUUUGAUAACGAAUCUAACUAUAAUAAUUUUAUGUCCUAUAAAACACAUCUUGAUAUAGUAAUUGUGAUCAAAUGCUUGUCUUAAUGAAAGCUAAUAUGCCAUUCUUUAAGGAACGGAGGGAGUAUAAGAUAAAACGAAUCUCAUGGUUAUUAUCAAUGAAUGAAUUAUUUCAGGGUAUUGCAAAGUUGCCAUUCAUAGAUGUGAAGGUGCUGCUUUCAGCCACCAAAACAGUAGAGAAAGAUCUCGCGCGGCAUGAGAUGAGCCGAAAUGCAGUCCGACAAGAGAAGAUCUUCCUGAGGAACUCAAACGCUCUGUCAAAUAACGCUGCAUUCACGUCAAUGUCUGACUGUACACAGAAGAAGCUUCUGAUAUCCACCAGGUACUUGCAAGUCUGAACUUACGAUCAAAUCCUGAAGUUCAUGUUCCCUCCAGAGCAAAUGCAGAACUGAUCCCGAUGUUUUCAACUGUUUCUCCAUAAUAGUGAAAUCACAGGAUGGUUAUCUCCCGAUGAAGAUGCUCCGAGCUGCGGCCUCUUCCACUCGCCGAUAAAAGAUCUCCCGGACAUCACAUUUGAUCAGACAAUGUAAGUUUCCUCCCUACCUGAUUAUGCUAUGCUCAUGCAUUGGGGGUUGCUAGACAAGCUUUCCAAAUUAAGUUUGCAUUUUUUUUCUUGUGAUGUUUCAGAUCGGCAUUGUUCUUCAACCCUGACGCAGCGAAGCCGGUCUCGAGGCUGCUCGACAACGUCAUAGUUCCCAAGAAGAGUGUGACUGACGAAUCUGAAAUUGCGAAGAGGCCGCUGUGGCACACGUACGCUGGCCCGAGGCCGCCGCUGGGCUGCUGGAAUCCAAGGCCGCCGCUGCCGAUGGUCGACUCCAGGCCAGAGACC